UGGGGAAUAUUGCACAAUGGAGGAAACUCUGAUGCAGCGACGCCGCGUGAACGAUGAAGGCUUUCGGGUCGUAAAGUUCUGUCCUAGGGGACGAUAAUGACGGUACCCUAGGAGGAAGCCCCGGCUAACUACGUGCCAGCAGCCGCGGUAAUACGUAGGGGGCGAGCGUUGUCCGGAUUUAUUGGGCGUAAAGGGUUCGCAGGCGGUCUCUUAAGUUAGAUGUGAAAGAUCACGGCUCAACCGUGGUAAGCAUUUAAAACUGGGAGACUUGAGUUAAGGAGAGGAAAGUGGAAUUCCUAGUGUAGCGGUGAAAUGCGUAGAUAUUAGGAGGAAUACCAGUGGCGAAGGCGACUUUCUGGACUUAUACUGACGCUGAGGAACGAAAGCGUGGGGAGCAAACAGG
rnacentral:rRNA from 3 species